GAUGAACGCUAGCGACAGGCCUAACACAUGCAAGUCGAGGGGCAGCAUAGGGUAGCUUGCUACUUUGAUGGCGACCGGCGCACGGGUGAGUAACGCGUAUGCAACCUACCUACUACAGGGGGAUAGCCCGAAGAAAUUCGGAUUAAUACCGCAUAAAACAGGGGCUCCGCAUGGGGAUAUUUGUUAAAGAUUUAUUGGUAGUAGAUGGGCAUGCGUUCCAUUAG
rnacentral:rRNA from 1 species